rnacentral:rRNA from 1 species
GACGAACGCUGGCGGCGUGCUUAACACAUGCAAGUCGAGCGGUAAGGCCCUUUCGGGGGUACACGAGCGGCGAACGGGUGAGUAACACGUGGGUGACCUGCCCUCAGCUCUGGGAUAAGCCUGGGAAACCGGGUCUAAUACCGGAUAUGACUCCAUGACGCAUGUUGUGGGGUGGAAAGCCUUGUGCGGCUGAGGAUGGGCUCGCGGCCUAUCAGCUUGUUGGUGGGGUGANGGCCUACCAAGGCGACGACGGGUAGCCGGCCUGAGAGGGCGACCGGCCACACUGGGACUGAGACACGGCCCAGACUCCUACGGGAGGCAGCAGUGGGGAAUCUUGCGCAAUGGGCGAAAGCCUGACGCAGCGACGCCGCGUGAGGGGUGACGGCCU